CUUGAUAUUACAUGUAACUACUGAAUUAUCUUACAGUGCACAAGGAGUCGUCAAAUGCUGUCCAGGAUUUGUGUGGAACAAAAUAGAAAAUAUAUGCACUCGAUAUCAGACCAGCAAAAAAAAAUGUGAACCUGGUUACAUUGGACCUAACUGUGAAUACGUUUGCCCAUACCCCAUGUAUGGAAAUAACUGCAUAUCAGAAUGUCACUGCAGUGAAGACAAUUGCAGUCCUGCUUACGGAUGUCUUAAAUGGAGCGAUGCUGCCACAAGGCUUUCACAGAAAUCUCAGAUUUUACGCUCAACUACCGUGUCGCUCACAACGAGUGUAAAUGGUUAGAUCCUUUUUUUUUACUUUAAUUCUCCCCUAAAGAUAAUUUUAGGCAACCCAAAGUACAAGACUUAGUGCGUGUAUAACAAUAUAAUUAUUAAAUGUAUAAUUAUGUAUCUGUUCAUUUUCUUGAAGAAACCGUUAGAAAU